rnacentral:rRNA from 1 species
CUUAAGUGGGGAAUAACGCAUCGAAAGGUGUGCUAAUACCGCAUAAUCUCUGAGGAGAAAAGCAGGGGAUCGCAAGACCUUGCGCUUUUGGAGCGGCCGAUGUCUGAUUAGCUUGUUGGUAAGGUAAAAGCUUACCAAGGCUUCGAUCAGUAGCUGGUCUGAGAGGACGACCAGCCACACUGGGACUGAGACACGGCCCAGACUCCUACGGGAGGCAGCAGUGGGGAAUUUUGGACAAUGGGGGCAACCCUGAUCCAGCCAUGCCGCGUGAGUGAAGAAGGCCUUCGGGUUGUAAAGCUCUUUCAGCCGGAACGAAACGGUUACGGUUAAUACCCGUGACUACUGACGGUACCGGAAGAAGAAGCACCGGCUAACUACGUGCCAGCAGCCGCGGUAAUACGUAGGGUGCGAGCGUUAAUCGGAAUUACUGGGCGUAAAGCGUGCGCAGGUGGUUUUGUAAGUCAGAUGUGAAAUCCCCGGGCUCAACCUGGGAACUGCGUUUGAAACUACAAGGCUAGAGUGUGGCAGAGGGGGGUGGAAUUCCGCGUAUAGCAGUGAAAUGCGUAGAGAUGUGGAGGAACACCGAUGGCGAAGGCAGCCCCCUGGGUCAACACUGACGCUCAGGCACGAAAGCAUGGGGAGCAAACAGGAUUAGAUACCCUGGUAGUCCAUGCCCUAAACGAUGUCAACUAGUUGUCGGGCCUUAACGGGCUUGGUAACGUAGCUAACGCGUGAAGUUGACCGCCUGGGGAGUACGAUCGCAAGAUUAAAACUCAAAGGAAUUGACGGGGACCCGCACAAGCGGUGGAUUAUGUGGAUUAAUUCGAUGCAACGCGAAAAACCUUACCUACCCUUGACAUGUAUCGAAGCCCGCAGAAAAGCGGGGGUGCCCGAAAGGGAACGAUAACACAGGUGCUGCAUGGCUGUCGUCAGCUCGUGUCGUGAGAUGUUGGGUUAGGUCCCGCAACGAGCGCAACCCUUGUCAUUAAUUGCCAUCAUUUAGUUGGGCACUUUAAUGAGACUGCCGGUGACAAACCGGAGGAAGGUGGGGAUGACGUCAAGUCCUCAUGGCCCUUAUGGGUAGGGCUUCACACGUAA